rnacentral:rRNA from 1 species
UCGACGACGUCACGAGAGGUUAGUAGUACUGUCGUCAGGAUGAACGCUAGCUACAGGCUUAACACAUGCAAGUCGAGCGGAACUGCUUCGGCAGUUUAGCGGCAGACGGGUGAGUAACACGUAUCCAACCUUCCCUUACCCGGGUAUAGCCUCGGGAAACUGAGAGUAAUCCCCGAUGUGGUGCACGAGAAGCAUUUUUUGCGCACGAAAGAUUCAUCGGUAAGGGGUGGGGAUGCGUUCCAUUAGUUAGUAGGCGGGGCAACGGCCCACCUAGACGAUGAUGGAUAGGGGUUCUGAGAGGAAGGUCCCCCACAUUGGAACUGCGACACGGUCCAAACUCCUACGGGAGGCAGCAGUGAGGAAUAUUGGUCAAUGGCCGGAAGGCUGAACCAGCCAAGUAGCGUGCAGGAUGACGGCCCUAUGGGUUGUAAACUGCUUUUGUACGGGAAUAACGGUCGCCACGCGUGGUGAUGUGCAUGUACCGUACGAAUAAGGAUCGGCUAACUCCGUGCCAGCAGCAGC